rnacentral:rRNA from 1 species
AAACUCAAAGGAAUUGACGGGUCCCCGCACAAGCAGCGGAGCGUGUGGUUUAAUUCGAUGCUACACGAAGAACCUUACCUGGGUUUGACAUAGAGGUAGUAGGGAAGCGAAAGCGGACCGACCUUCGGGGAGCCUCUACAGGUGUUGCAUGGCUGUCGUCAGCUCGUGUCGUGAGAUGUUCGGUUAAGUCCGCUAACGAGCGCAACCCUCGCUGUGUGUUACAAGUGUCACACGGUACUGCCGAUAUUAAGUCGGAGGAAGGUGGGGAUGACGUCAAGUCAGCAUGGCCUUUAUAUCCUGGGCUACACACACGCUACAAUGGGAAGGGACAAUAGGUUGCGAAGCCGCGAGGUGGAGCCAAUCCAGACAAAACUUCCCUCAGUUCAGAUUGCAGGCUGCAACUCGCCUGCAUGAAGAUGGAGUUGCUAGUAACCGCAGGUCAGCUAUACUGCGGUGAAUACGUUCCCGGGGCUU